UACGUAGGGGGCGAGCGUUGUCCGGAUUUACUGGGCGUAAAGCGCACGCAGGCGGUCUGCUAAGUUUGGAGUGACAGUUGGUGGCUUAACUGCCAAAGUGCUUCGAAAACUGACAGACUUGAGGGCUUCAGAGGGACACGGAAUUCCGGGUGGAGUGGUGAAAUGCGCAGAUAUCAGGAGGAACACCGGUGGCGAAGGCGGGUCUCUGGGCCGAUACUGACGCUGAGGAGCGAAAGCGUGGGGAGCGAACAGG
rnacentral:rRNA from 1 species